CCUACGGGAGGCAGCAGUGGGGAAUAUUGGACAAUGGGGGAAACCCUGAUCCAGCGACGCCGCGUGAGUGAAGAAGUAUUUCGGUACGUAAAGCUCUAUCAGCAGGAAAGAAAAUGACGGUACCUGACUAAGAAGCCCCGGCUAACUACGUGCCAGCAGCCGCGGUAAUACGUAGGGGGCAAGCGUUAUCCGGAUUUACUGGGUGUAAAGGGUGCGUAGGUGGUUUGACAAGUUGGUAGCGUAACCCCGGAGCUCAACUUCGGAACUACUACCAAAACUGUUGGACUAGAGUGCAGGAGGGGCAACUGGAAUUUCUAGUGUAGCGGUGGAAUGCGUAGAUAUUAGGAAGAACACCGGUGGCGAAGGCGAGUUGCUGGACUGUAACUGACACUGAGGCACGAAAGCGUGGGGAGCAAACAGGAUUAGAUACCCGUGUAGUC
rnacentral:rRNA from 1 species